AGUGUGAAGCAAAAUGGUGUUGUAUAAAAGGCUAUCAAAGUACAACGAGUGAAAAACGUGGAAUAAAAGAAACUUUGUUUAGAUUCCCGAAAGAUGUAGAAAGGUAUACAUUAAUCAACUGAAAUUAAGAAAGAAAAAGAAGACUUCAGCAUCUAGAUCAGAUGACUGAUGGAUCAAGGAUGGAUACACAUUUGUCAAUAUUAUGAUUAUCAGAUUAUAUUUUUCUAACGUCGUUUAUAACGUAUUUAUUAAUUAUUGUAUACUAGUAGGCCAAUUAGUCGUUGACUGAAGUCAACAACGAUUAGGUUUAAAUUUUUGAAAAUCAUCUAUUACUCCUUUAUCAUUUAUUAAUGUAAUUUAAAUAAAAAUAUUUGCUGCCAA